rnacentral:lncRNA from 1 species
CCGAUCUUCCUCACCAUGUGCCACAUGACGUCGUGCUCCCUCCUCAGCUACCUCGCCAUCGCGUGGAUGAGGAUGGUCCCUAUGCAGACGGUUUAAAAAUGUGAUCUUUCUUUUGAAUUUUUGAGUUGGCUUGUGAAUAUUCAGAUGGGUGAUGAUCCAAUUAGUGAAAUGUGUUUGUUUUAUGGCUAAAGUUACAAGCUUUUAAGGAGAUAGUAAUGGUUGAAGUAGAGGGUAAUAGAUCAUACUUACAAUUCACUUUAGAGAACCUUUUGGGGUUGGUCUGAGCAUUAAGCUGCUGAGUUUUGUAAAGUUCGUUACUUUACCUCAACCAUUUCACUAUAUGAACGUUAUGUGAUGUGUAAAAGGUUUGCCUAGAAGAGGAAUU